AUUCAAAUGAAGAAAUCUGGGUUUUCAUAUUUACCUGGUCAGUAUGUGUUUCUUCAAUGUCCAAAAUAUUCUCAUUAGGAAUGGCAUCCAUUUACUCUAACCUUCGUACGUGCUUAUAUUUGUCGCUAACAUAAAGUAUUUGGUCCAUCGACGUAUAUGUACAACUAUAAACUUUAUUUAGAGCACAGAGCAAGGGACGUUUAGCGUUCAUAUUCGCACUGCUGACGACUGGACAAUUGCUCUAUCAGAUACCUGCACUGGAAUGGGAAUGGAAACAAAUAAUCUUAAUGAUGUACCAAGGUUUACUACAUUAUUACUACAAGUAUUGAUGUUAUCUUUACAAUAGUUCAGAAAUAUUUUAUGAUUAGGAUAGAGAUGACACAACAAAAAACAAUAAAAUCACACUUCAAGUCAA